CUUGGUGUUAUGAGUACUGUGCUCUGACCAACUGAGCCAACCGGCCGCCCCCCUUAGCAUUAGCUCUUGAAUCACAAGGCUAAAAUGAUAAUAGCUUGAAUUUUGUUCAGCACUUAUUGUGUGCCAGGGAUUAGUCCAAGCCCUUGACAUAUGUGAACUAAUAUUAAUCUUGGCUUCAAAUGUAUGAGACACAUGCUAUUUUCUUCCCAUCUUAUGCAUGAAGAAAGAGGCUAAGUAACUUAUACACGGUCACAGAGCUAGUAAUUUACAAAACCAGGAUUCAAACUCAGGCGGUCUGGCUCCGGAGUCCAUGGUCUUAAACUUGAGAGGGUUCGCAGUGAAUACACAGCACCGGGCCUCAUGCACAGUCUGUGCUUAAUCAAUUGUUAAACCUUUGAAAAACAUGUAGAGAGAUAAGCAGGGCUUUCCUAUUCUAAACCACAGCGGCAGCUUGCCUGAGAAUUCACUGUUCCCUUAUUUCCUUCCCUUCCUGUUGGUCCCACUUGCUAGAGGAGAAGUUGCCCAUGGGCCAUGUUUCCUCCGCUCCCCCUCCCUCUGGGAAGAUUCUGUGUGGCAUCCACAGGUCAUGGGGCUGCUGGCCAGAGGGUUGGCAAGAGCAGAGUUUGGCCAGGUGAUCAGGUUUCGUGGUCAGACACCUUCGCCCCUGACCAGAGCUGUCUUUCCAAAACAGAACAUUUAGUCACCGCCUGUCCCUGUGCUCAGCUGUCCUUGUCCCCUGACCUCGCUUCCUGCCCACCCGCCCGGGGUUUUUCCUAGUGAGAUCUCUUACUGACAUCUCGUGAAGACGAUCAGAAUUGAGAGAGCCAGAGAAAGAGAAACUGAGAGAAUCUGAGAGACUAUCAGAUUCUGACAGAGAGGCCAAAAGAGGAGACAGCCAGCCAGCGAGAGAUGAAGAGACAGAGGGAGCCCUGCAGAGUUUCAGAGGACAAACAGAGGCAACGUCACUGACCUAGCCAGGAGGUGGAGGAGCCAAGAUUCAAGUCAAGAUCUGUUUGAUUCCAGAACCAAGCUUGACCUCAUGGAGCCAGCAGAGCACCAAGGAAUCUGGCUUUUGCAGCACUCACUCCCCCAGCUCCCCUGGGUACAGAGAUGUUACCAACCUCCCAGGGAAGAGCUUGAGACAAACUGAAGAUGACCUCUCUGGGGCAUUUGGAGGUGACAGCGUCUGUGUGCAGAGCGGGGAUGCUGAAGCGACUCUAGAAAUCCAUCCCGCAGAAGUACAUGUAUCCACAGACAUGUGACCAGCUGACCACCACCGUGAAGUUCAGGACAGCAAAAGCCAGGAAACAAGACUGAUCAUGAUGAGGAAACUGAGGCUCAACAGGUGAAGCCACUGGCCCGAGGUCACACAACUGGAUUUGACCCAGCAGCAUUGAGGACAUUUUACAUUGGUCACCCGUGGAUUCAUUCAGCAAGUGUUGUCUGAGCGCCUGCUAUGUCCCAGGCGCUGUCCUUGGCGGGAGAUACAGCCAACACCAGCUGGGUCUUUAAGAGCCGACAGUCUAGUGGGGAAAGUGGACAAGACACAAGAAAACAAAUAGACAAGAUCAUUUCAGACUGUGCUAAAUGUGACCAUAGGGAGAGGGAAGGGCCGCUCCCGAGAAGGCGGUGUUCCAGAAGGCCUUUCUGAGGAGGUGAGGCCUAAAGGUUGGCAAGGAACCUUGGCCAGAGGCGGAGGGAACGGUGUGUGCAAAGGUCCUGCGGCAGGAGCUUCCAGGACUGUUGAGGCACAGCCAGGAGGCCUGCGGCUGAAGCCAAGUGAGGAAGGAGAUGAGGUUGGAGUUACAAGUAAGAAGCACACAGACGUGCAGGCUGUGUGGCCACUGCAACGUGCUUGGCACGUACUGUGAGGAAAGGGGGGAGUCCUGGGAGGAUUUGAGUAGAAGAGGCACCGCGGACGUAGGUUCUAAAAGGAUCCCUUUGGAUCCUGUGGUCAGCUGAGCAGUGCCCCCCAAAGGGGUCCACAUCUUAAUCCCCCAAACCUGUGCAUGUCCCUUGAUAUGGCGAAAGGAACUUUUCAGCUGUGUCGUUAGUUAAGGACCUUGAGGUGGGAAGAUUAUCCUGGAUGAUCCAAGUGGGCUCAGUGUAAUCCCAGGAGUCCUUACAAGAUGGAGGAAGAGGGAGGUGUGAUGACAGAAAAUGAGAAGGCAGAGAGAAGAAAGAAAAGGACAGAAAUAGAGACAGGAGGAUGGAAGAAGGGGCCACAAGCCAAGGAAUGCAGGUGACUGACCACUAGAAGCUGAAAAAGGCAAGGAAAUAACUUCUCUUCGGGAGCCUUUAGCAGGAAGCAGCCCUGUCAACACCUUCACUUCAGCCCAGUGGGACUGACUUCGGAGAAGUCAGACUUCUGACUUCCGGAACU